rnacentral:tRNA from 1 species
GCCCCGGCUAGACGGGGGCCGUAGCCGAAGGCUACCCCACCCGGUCGUCUAGCCCGGUCAAGGGGCAACGCCCGGCUAGGGAUAUGGGCCUCUCGAGCCCAAGACCCGGGUUCAAAUCCCGGCCGGGGCA